rnacentral:rRNA from 1 species
AAGCGGAAAAGGGAAAGGCUUAGUGGCGGACGGGUGAGUAACGCGUGGGUAACCUGGCCCAUACAGGGGGAUAACACUUAGAAAUAGGUGCUAAUACCGCAUAACAACAGAAAGCGCAUGCUUUUUGUUUGAAAACCAAGGUGGUAUGGGAUGGACCCGCGUCUAAUUAGCUGGUUGGCGGGGUAAAGGCCCACCAAGGCGACGAUCAGUAGCCGGCCUGAGAGGGUGGACGGCCACAUUGGGACUGAGACACGGCCCAAACUCCUACGGAAGGCAGCAG